CUGCUCCGGGGGACCGCCGUCCCCCGCCCCCUUCCCCCAGACGCCACCACCCGGGCCAAAUCGGUCAGAGCGCAGCGGCCUGGGGAGGGCGGAGGGCUGCGGCGGGGCUGGCAGGCAAGUGGCUGCACCUCCCGGGACGCGGUUGGGGCUGCGCUGCUUCCGGCCCCCUCACUAGCUGCCUCCACCCGGGGUUCGGAUUUGUCUCUUUGCACCGGGCCGGGAAAACUGAGGCUCUUUUCCAAUAAUGAAAACUGCAAUUAAUGCUCCCACGGCCAUAAAGCUAACCCAUAGCCCCAGCCCCAGCUCCAACCUGUGACCCUCUCACUGGCGAGGACUGCUCCCCUAAACACCGAAAAGGAAAUUAAUGUCGUUCUAAUUAGGAAUCCCCCAGUCAUGUUUGAAGUCGGCAAGUCCAAACAGCGGAGGAGACCGCGGCCUGGAAUCUGCCCAGCCUCGGUGCCAGCCUCGCGUUCUCCCCUCACUGCCCACUGACUUGGAGAUCAAACCGCUGGGCCCUGCUGAACAGAUCCUGCCCCCCCACACCCCCAUUCCCUUUCGUCUCUUCCUUUGUCACUCCAGGGCCCCUAAUUGUCGGAGGGACUUGAAUCAUUACUGAAAGAUGUCUAAGUUCCCAGACACCAAACCCGUUCAAAGAGAGGCAUGGGCGCCCAAAAAAGCAGCUCAGAGAAGUACAGGGGACACGUUCCGGGUCCCAGAUUUAGCCAAUCGCGUCUUUGGGAAAACUCUCAGCUGUUUCGCUGGGCCUCAUCCUCCCUCUCCGUCAUCCCCUCGAGCCUUGGCUGGCCCCCAGGGUCUCCUUUCUGGGUUCCCUUUGGGCCUGGGACACCCGUGAGACCUUCGGCUGUGCUACAGGUAGGCCCUGGCUCCUCGGUAACCCGCCCUGCGUGCACCUCACUCUGAUAAACGCUGCUCCCGGGCAAAGCCUCUCCUCGGUUACCCCGCCCAAGGAGACCCCCCUUUCCUCUGAGUCAUGUUUUUCAUCCAACCUUGCAUGAUCUAAGUCUUAUCUUCCUAAGACAAGAAGAGAAUGGGUAUGGCUCGAAAAAGAGGAUACGGCCACUAACACGCGUGACCCACAGAUGUGAACAAAGGUGUGGGAUGGCCCAAGGGAGCAGAAGGGGGUUCUGGGUGGAGGGGGGCGGAGGGGGAAAAACUGAGACAACUGUAACAGCAUA